CCCAACUAUCCCUAUUAAUCAUUACGUGAUCCUAGAAACCAACAAAACAGAACCACCGUCCUAUUUCAUUAUUCCAUGCUAAUGUAUUCAAGCAAAUCACUGCCUGCUUUAAACACUCUAAUUUUUUCAAAGUAAAAAAUUCCAGUUCAUUGAGACACCCAAUUAAGAACAUCACAAUUCACCAGAAGAUGAGAAAUUGGCUACACCAGUUCAUGCCCCUUAAGGCACAACCGAUGCAUCAAUUCCGAAAUUCAACUACGAGCUUUUUAACCGCAACAACUUUAAUAUACGCUAUUGGAGCUGGAAUUACCGCAAUGGCUGCUAACACCAGACUUGCCCUCCAA
rnacentral:misc_RNA from 1 species